CCGAAUAUUAACGCACAUCUGGUUCGGUUCGGUUCUGCUCUCUUUGCAGUGGACAAUCGUUGUUAGCAACAAAGGCAAAGUUUACGUAACUCACCCGCUCCUUGUUCUCCAUAAGCCAGGUGAGGAGGAAUGACGACCCUCCUCCUCUCCCCUAGGCAGAUCCCCAGGAGGCCCUGGUCCAUUCCUGGGAUCACGUAGCCCAUCCCGAUAUCCCUUUUCUCCGUACGCUUUGAACGGUGGGAUCACGAUGUGCCUGACCUCCCCCACACACAUGCCCAGCAGGCCCUCGUCCAUGCCCUUCACCAGCCAGCCCUCGCCCACCAGUGAGUUGUAGGUCUGCUUCCUGUUGUAGCUGCGUGGGGCUCAUACAAGCUCAAAACACCAUUUUCAGUUUAACUUCUGCUGAGAAGCUGUGGAAAUCUCUCAGUUGAAAUAACAAAACGUCCAGAACUCACCUGGAGU